rnacentral:misc_RNA from 1 species
GUGCAGACAAGAGACUAUCUUGAGAAGGAGAUUUAACAUCAAAAUAAAACGUAAACAGCAGAGGAAUGACAAUAGGAACCACAAGAAGAACGAGUAACACAACCGUGAACAGAUCAAUUAACCCAUCGUUCAAGUUAAGGAGAUCUUGCACAAGAAUGACACCAGUCAAGUAAGCCGCCAGAAUUAAGGACCAGAUAUAAAC